UCUAAUAUGGCAGAUUAGUGCAAUAAAUUUAAGAUUUAUAUAUAUAAAUUAUUAUUUAUUAUUAGAA
rnacentral:tRNA from 1 species